GAUGAACGCUAGCGGCAGGCUUAACACAUGCAAGUCGAGGGGUAUUAGGAGCUUGCUCCUAAGAGACCGGCGCACGGGUGCGUAACGCGUAUGCAACCUACCUUGAACAGGGGGAUAGCCCAGAGAAAUUUGGAUUAAUACCCCAUGGUAUAUUAGAAUGGCAUCAUUUUAUUAUUAAAGUCACAACGGUUCAAGAUGGGCAUGCGUCCCAUUAGCUAGAUGGUAAGGUAACGGCUUACCAUGGCUACGAUGGGUAGGGGUCCUGAGAGGGAGAUCCCCCACACUGGUACUGAGACACGGACCAGACUCCUACGGGAGGCAGCAGUGAGGAAUAUUGGUCAAUGGGCGCAAGCCUGAACCAGCCAUGCCGCGUGCAGGAUGAAGCAUCUAUGGUGUGUAAACUGCUUUUAUACGGGAAGAAACCCUGCCACGUGUGGCAGAUUGACGGUACCGUAGGAAUAAGGAUCGGCUAACUCCGUGCCAGCAGCCGCCGCAG
rnacentral:rRNA from 1 species